UACGUAGGGUGCAAGCGUUGUCCGGAAUUAUUGGGCGGAAAGGGCUCGUAGGCGGAUCCGCCAGUCUGACGUGAAAUCUCCACCGCUCACCGGGGAGAGGUCGUUGGAUACUACGGAUCUGGAGUUCGGCAGAGGACCAUGGAAUUUCGGGUGUAGCGGUGGAAUGCGUAGAUAUCCGAAAGAACACCGGUGGCGAAGGCGGUGGUCUGGGCCUGAACUGACGCUGAGGAGCGAAAGCCAGGGGAGCAAACGGG
rnacentral:rRNA from 1 species